CACAUUCUAAGUGUAUGGUUUGAUGA
rnacentral:piRNA from 1 species